AAAUAAAGUGUUAGUAGUGCAGUUAGUAAAUUAUUAAAGGGUGCUGUGUGGCUAAUAAAAGCGGUUCGCAUUCCAAGGGAAUUGCGUGCAAUUGAACCUAGUGGAAAAAGGCCUAACGAGGCCUUUUUCCAUUUGUUUAGGCCAGUCGUCUGGAUUUUCGGGAGAAACUGGUCCCAAACGCCCAACUUGCAUCUAUUUUGGAAUUUUCCAGAACAAAUCAAAUCCCUGAGCCAGAAAUCUUCCCUGCUGGUACUCCUUUGGGGUAAAUAGCAGA